UGCAGUACAGUUUAAAACGUAGACCUGAAAAAGCCGGUACGUUACUAGUCGGCAGUAACUAGCAAUGCGGAAAUAGAACGAUAUAUUAAAGAAUUAAAGCAAAGCCCAGAGAAAGCAGAAAAAAUUUCACAAAAACAAAUUUUUACUUCCAAGUAUUGCGCAGCUAAAGAAUACUAUUAGCUUAUUCCUAAGUAAUCAAUUUGUAGUAAAAAAGCGAAUUAAAGUGCAGUUGUGGUGGGAUAGCGUUGACUAAAUGCCUAAUUGCGAAUAAGCGAUGAGUGGCAAGCCUCAGUGAAAAUUUUUAUACCGUUCAGGCAUACUCAUCGGCUUUCAGUCUACGACGUGGUUGCGUGUGUGUUAGUGCAGUUCUUAAUCUAGCGAUGGUCUGUUGCUGUUCUGGUAGAAAAAAAUUUAAAGCCCCCAUAGCAGAAUACAUUUAAUUGAACAGGCGUGUCUUUUAAGAGGUGUUCGCGCUUUUCGCGCCUCAGCUCACGGUUUCCGUUACACAACCAACAUCUACAAUAUCUGUUGUGAAAGUGACAGAACAAGGAUCCGCAACGUGCCUUUCGGAGAACAGCGACAUUAGCGUCAUCAUGAAGUUUGAAACGUCAUUUAAGUCCUUUAAGUCAUGGCAAUAUCGCUGACCAAGAGUUUAUUUAAAGCCUUUAAGCAGUUCUAAGUAAAAGCAAGCAGAGCAAAAAUAAUAAGGAACAGGAAGUCAUGCAACAAAAUGGGAAUGGCGCGCUACUUGAACAGAAAUUAAGACAAUGUUCACAACGGCUCACUGAGUUCACCGCUGCCUUACAAAUACGCACUCACUUGAAGUCCUUGUAAAGUUUUUGAAUUAUUUCCGCACUCUGCCUCUCCUACGAUUUAGAAUAACUUUGCUUCCUACGGGCUUGUUGAAUUCAUAACUGUUGAAGGGCGAGAAAACAUUUCGAAAAGUGCAAAAGUGCGAAAGUGACAAUAAUUAAAAGUAAGGAUGUGUAAUUAAGAGGGCAACAGGUGUGCUUAGAGUAAAGGGAUAAAAUUUUUAAAUGUCACAGUUUCAUUGUCCUCACCGCAAAGCUCACACUAAUCGCAUUGUCUUAUGCAAAUGUUACAAAAUGAACCCAAUUUGGGUGUUAAUGGUGGUAGGCUCAGCCAAAAGACAGCACUGUAAGCGUUUAUACACACUUGUUAGUACAUACAUAUAGAAGAACAUACUACAUUGCCCAUUUACGUAUGAGCAACAUAUUUCCACAAAUACACGAGACUUUGGCUGAGAUAAUACGGAAUAAUAAAUUUUGCACUAAAACUGGUGAAGAAGCUAAAUGAGUCGCAAAACAGUGGAAUUGUGUAGUUGAAGCAAAGUGGUUGCUGAUGUUAUGUACGGUAUAAUAUAUGAAUAUAACUGUUUGUAUGUGUUUAUUUCUUAAUUUAUUUCUUUCAACUUCGUAAUUAAAAUUCCUCACACCGCAUUACAACAGAUAACAAAGCACCCACAAUUGUUCGUCAAAUACUCCAAGUUCAUUGUUCCGCCUUUGCCAAAAUAGUUGCUGUCUAUCCUAAUCGGCCUGAAAAGACUUUGUAACAGUCGAAACUAAACACACACGACACAAAUGGCAACACCACAAAACGUCAUCACUUGUGAUCAAUACGACAAAGCGCUUACAACCAAAAGUAAAAUAUUGUACUAUGUAUAUAUCAAUUUAUGUUGGUAUGGCGAAGUGGUAAAACGGUAAAAUAUUCCGAAUUUAGGUGGCAGUAGACUCGUUUGGAAAUAACUGAGCAGAUAAGUAGGUAAGAACAAUAUCAGAAUCACGCAGACGUGCACUGUGUUCACGUAGUAACCUCCUUGAGAAAAGCAUCAACAAAACAAAAAAAAUGAAUUCAUAGUAAAUAUUUAAAUAUGUUCUAUAUGCUCAUUUAUGCUCGAUAUGAGAGCGAGAGUGAAUGAGGAAAGUAAUGCUCACAGUUUCUCCGGUGAAGCCCUAAGAGAGUUUAUGAAUUCUGCAACUCAACGACAGCACCAGAAAAAAUCAUGUCCAUACGUCCAUAAAUUCAGAUAGAUAUCGAACUUUGCUCAAAUUGCUCAUACGCCUCAGCCUACCCACGGCACAGGACGACCAUCUAAACUUAAAUUGGACUAUUUUGAUAAAUAAAGUAUUGGUUAUUUUCAAUCUAACUAACCACAUACAAUUUUUUUAAAUCAUUCUGUUAAAAGUCUCUUACAUUUUCUCACUUCUAAUAACUUUGCAGGCUGACGAGCCGGAACUUCCCAAGACCUCAAAAGUAGUAGUAGGUGCUUAAGAGCUCGGGAUAAAACAAAACAUUAUGAGCUGUAGGCAUCAAUUAGGAUCCCAUAUUUGAAUGCAAUAGCAUAGAACGCAUUGAGGUGUUCUCCUGGGAGCCUGAUUUCAUAUUUCAGCAAUUUUACUACUUCCGUUUCCACGUUUAAACCGGCAAAAGAUUUUGUUGUUGACGAUUAACGCGUAACAAUAUGCCAUUUGCAAUUUACGUAUGUAUUAGGAAGAAGAGUAGACAUCAAUCACUUCAUUAUAUCUUGAGCUGAUGUGUAUCUCAAGUCUUAAUAAAAAUAAAAAUGUAAUAAAUCAAA